rnacentral:rRNA from 1 species
CCUACGGGUGGCAGCAGUGGGGAAUCUUGCACAAUGGGGGAAACCCUGAUGCAGCGACGCCGCGUGAGUGAAGAAGUAAUUCGUUAUGUAAAGCUCUAUCAGCAGGGAAGAAAAUGACGGUACGUGAGUAAGAAGCCCCGGCUAACUACGAGCCAGCAGCCGCGGUAAUACGGAGGGGGCAAGCGUUAUCCGGAUUUAAUGGGGGUAAAGGGAGCGUAGACGGCAGUGUAAGUCUGGAGUGAAAGGCGGCGGCUCAACCCCCGGAGUGCACUGGAAACUGUGCGGCUUGAGUGCAGGAGAGGAGAGUGGAAUUCCAUGUGUAGCGGUGAAAUGCGUAGAUAUUAGGAGGAACACCAGUGGCGAAGGCGGCUUACUGGACUGUAACUGACGUUGAGGCUCGAAAGCGUGGGUAGCAAACAGGAUUAGAUACCCGAGUAGUC